GGGGUGUUAGCUCAGCUGGUAGAGCUGUGGACUCUUAAUCCAUGGCUCCUGGGUUCGAAUCCCUGACGCCCCACCA
rnacentral:tRNA from 1 species